rnacentral:miRNA from 1 species
AUUUUGAUACUACUACCUUCAUCA